rnacentral:rRNA from 1 species
AUUGAACGCUGGCGGCAUGCCUUACACAUGCAAGUCGAACGGUAACAGGUUAAGCUGACGAGUGGCGACCGGGUGAGUCAUGUAUCGGAACGUGCCCAGUCGUGGGGGAUAACUGCUCGAAAGAGCAGCUAAUACCGCAUACGACCUGAGGGUGAAAGCUGGGGAUCGCAAGACCUCGCGCGAUUGGAGCGGCCGAUAUCAGAUUAGGUAGUUGGUGAGGUAAAGGCUCACCAAGCCGACGAUCUGUAGCUGGUCUGAGAGGACGACCAGCCACACUGGGACUGAGACACGGCCCAGACUCCUACGGGAGGCAGCAGUGGGGAAUUUUGGACAAUGGGCGCAAGCCUGAUCCAGCCAUGCCGCGUGCGGGAAGAAGGCCUUCGGGUUGUAAACCGCUUUUGUCAGGGAAGAAAAGGUUCUGGCUAAUACCUGGGACUCAUGACGGUACCUGAAGAAUGAGCACCGGCUAACUACGUG